UGUCGCAGGAAAAGUCGCACGGGACCAGCCUGCGACUUUUCCUGCGACAAAUUUAGACGAAAAAAGCCAUCUAAAUGGUUUGAUAAAUUCCCUUCAUUGUACUUGGCCGUGUACAUGUUCCCAGGGGCAGAAUGGAAUAAGAUGGUGCCAGACAUAACUGGUGGUGGCUUAUACCCUUUAAGAACAAAGAAUCAGACAAAAAAGCCAUCAUGUUGGGGUCAGCGUACGGUCAUGAGAAGCCUUAAUAGCUAGGUGACAUUGUUUGGACAUAUACACCGAGAUAAGUGAAGAUGGAGCGAAAUUAUUAUAACCCGGCAGAUGAGAGAAAUGAGGACAGCGACGCUGCCGAUUGUCUGGACAUAGUUGCAGACACUAGUGGAAGUUAUUAGCAGGACUUGAACCAGCAAUUCUGCAAUCUUCUUCAUAAUACAUUACAAUACUAGGGUGUCGCUUUUGGAUUUUUGGCCUGGCACCUCAUAUCUCUUGGUGACCACAACUUUUUAACCUCAUCUGUAUUCUCUGGAUGCAAAUACAGUUGAAUACCAUGCCAGGGCAGGGAACUGUCAGCUCCCUAUCCCACCACUCAUGUGAUGUCUUCGUGUUUCUACUCGGGGAUCCCACAUCUCAGCAUCUCAUAAGCUGCAGGCCUCAAGGCACAUAAGCUUUGUCAUGGGCUAGGUGUAACGUAUGGGCAGAGAACAGUGAAGCCCUAACUCACCCAUAGCCACUGUCCCUACCUAUUUCCCAUCUGCCCUAAGUGACGGAACAACAACCACGAUGACAAACACUCCAACCUAAGUGCUAGGGCAGCGUUGUCAAAAUAAUAAACUACAAAACAGUCGGAGUCAGGCAACAGCUGGAGGCACACAAACUAAUAGAGAUACACUAAGACAACACAAAGUAAAGCGAGAUCAGACUAGCCAGGGUCAAUAACAGGAGUAAGCAGAGUACCAGAACACUAAGCAGGAGAGUAGUCAAAAAGCCAAAGAUCAAAACCUGAAGUCAGAAACACUAUAAGAUUGCUGGUUACUAAAAACCGAGUCUAUCCCUGGCCAGGACUAGAAGCACACUGCAGGUUUAAAUAGCCGGCUACAUAGGUGUGAUCUUAGCAUGGUCAGCUGACCAGCCCAGAUAGCUAGGGCAUAGCCAGCAACCAAACCAAACCAAUCCAAAGCUCAAGAAAGUUUAACCCUUCGGGUCAGACACGGACGUGUCAUUUCACUAGGUCCCUUUUACUUUACACUGAGAGGGCAAUAGUAUUGCAUGGUUGCACUAAAGAACAUUAUUAGUGGGGGGCACUAAUGGCACCACCAGUACAAGUUGGGAGUACAUCAUUAGUAGGUGAGGGUACUAAGGGUGAAAUGAAUUCUGAGUGGGGGGCACUAAGGGGCAUUAUUACUGAGUAGGGGCACCAUAAUAAAGUGGUGGCACUAAGAAGGCACCAUUACUGAAUAGGCAGUGCUCUGAAUUGCACUAGGCACAACACUGGUAGUGCUUUUACUGUGUGUUGUGUACUAUUAUUGUGAGGGGAAUUUAGAGACCACAGGGACCACUUGUAAUGUGUACACUAGGCACCAUUAUUAUAGGUUGUACGAAUCAGACACGAUUUCUGUUUUGGGACAAUAAAGAAGGCUGUAACAAUAUAAAGCACGAAGGGGCCAGCAUGUAUAUAGCACUUACUCUGUAUGUGGCUGUAGAUAAUCAUCAAUAAAACCACAUGUGGUGUGAUGACCGAGGUUCACCUUGGGAUGCUGUGCAUAUAGGAUAUUUACACUCAGUUCAUGUCACGGUGGAUAUGUUACAAUGUGAGCGGAAACCUCAUUUUUGUUGACGAAGACUAUGAGCUGCAGUCUUACAUCAAUCUUACAUCAAUAGGAAGUAGUAGGCCGUGGCUUGUCUCUUAUACCAAGUUGUUUGAAGGUUCUGUUCACAUCUUCUUUUAUGCAGCCAAUGCAGAUUUUGCUACCGUAUAUACUCGAGUAUAAGCCGAGUUUUUCAGCACGAUUUUUCGUGCUGAAAACACCCCCCUCG